rnacentral:rRNA from 1 species
AUUGAACGCUGGCGGCAGGCCUAACACAUGCAAGUCGAGCGGAUGAAAGGAGCUUGCUCCUCGAUUCAGCGGCGGACGGGUGAGUAAUGCCUAGGAAUCUGCCUAGUAGUGGGGGACAACGUUUCGAAAGGAACGCUAAUACCGCAUACGUCCUACGGGAGAAAGGGGGGGAUCUUCGGACCUCACGCUAUUAGAUGAGCCAGGGUCGGAUUAGCUAGUUGGUAGGGUAACGGCCUACCAAGGCGACGAUCCGUAACUGGUCUGAGAGGAUGAUCAGUCACACUGGAACUGAGACACGGUCCAGACUCCUACGGGAGGCAGCAGUGGGGAAUAUUGGACAAUGGGCGAAAGCCUGAUCCAGCCAUGCCGCGUGUGUGAAGAAGGCCUUCGGGUCGUAAAGCACUUUAAGUUGGGAGGAAGGGCUUACAGCGAAUACCUGUGAGUUUUGACGUUACCGACAGAAUAAGCACCGGCUAACUUCGUGCCAGCCGCCGCGGUAA